CAGCCGCCGCGGUAAUACGGAGGGUGCAAGCGUUAAUCGGAAUUACUGGGCGUAAAGCGCACGCAGGCGGUUUGUUAAGUCAGAUGUGAAAUCCCCGAGCUUAACUUGGGAACUGCAUUUGUGACUGUAUAGCUAGAGUACGGUAGAGGGGGAUGGAAUUCCGCGUGUAGCAGUGAAAUGCGUAGAUAUGCGGAGGAACACCGAUGGCGAAGGCAAUCCCCUGGACCUGUACUGACGCUCAUGCACGAAAGCGUGGGGAGCAAACAGGAUUAGAUACCCGGGUAGUCCCUGUCUCUUAUAC
rnacentral:rRNA from 1 species